rnacentral:rRNA from 1 species
AGUGAACGCUGGCGGUAGGCCUAACACAUGCAAGUCGAACGGCAGCACAGUAAGAGCUUGCUCUUACGGGUGGCGAGUGGCGGACGGGUGAGGAAUACAUCGGAAUCUACUUUUUCGUGGGGGAUAACGUAGGGAAACUUACGCUAAUACCGCAUACGACCUACGGGUGAAAGCAGGGGAUCUUCGGACCUUGCGCGAUUGAAUGAGCCGAUGUCGGAUUAGCUAGUUGGCGGGGUAAAGGCCCACCAAGGCGACGAUCCGUAGCUGGUCUGAGAGGAUGAUCAGCCACACUGGAACUGAGACACGGUCCAGACUCCUACGGGAGGCAGCAGUGGGGAAUAUUGGACAAUGGGCGCAAGCCUGAUCCAGCAAUACCGCGUGGGUGAAGAAGGCCUUCGGGUUGUAAAGCCCUUUUGUUGGGAAAGAAAAGCAGCAGGUUAAUACCCCGCUGUUCUGACGGUACCCAAAGAAUAAGCACCGGCUAACUUCGU